rnacentral:lncRNA from 1 species
AUGUGCUUUCCCCUCCUCUCACUUUACUCCAGUCCAUGUGCCGUCUUAUCCCCUGACUCUCCUUCCAGUGGACCAUCAGAGAAGGGCGUGGACUCUGAGCCUCAGAAGCAGGAGCUGACAGAGAAGAACCAAGUGUGCUGGCGCGUGUGCAGACAGGUUCCUGGAGCAAGAGUGAGGAGAACAGGGUCCCAUCACUGGGACACUUUAGGGCAGAGCUCUUCAUGCAGAUGACUGACCCCAUGGUAUUGAUUGGCUGAGAGGAUGCACCUUUUCGGGACUCGGCAAAGGAUGGCUGCAAGAAGGGAAGCAUUUCCGGCGCGGAGGAACUGCCUGUGCUUCGCGGUUGCUGUAGAAACCUGACGUCAUCGUGGCGCCCGUCACGACUUUUCUAUAGAGAAAGUGGUGCUUGAUGGGAAGUGCGGGUUUCACCUUCAGGUAUUUGGUUGUCAGCUGAGGGUGUGGGUUUCUGCGGUGGGGGCUGAGCUCCCCCGGGGUGUGGGGGAGACAAAGGGGCCCACAUCCAAGUUGCCUCUCUCCCGCUUUGGGACUUGGUUCCCAGGCGGGCUCGUGGGUAAAGACACCGGGGUCCCACCGGUCCUAGUGCGUGUGGCUUCCUGCCCCAGGGGUGUCCUGGAGAUACUUUCCUUCUAAAGGCAAGGGCGCGGGAGGUGACACAGGGAACGGCUCUCUCUGAGCCCCAGCUCCCCCUUCUGUCAAAUGGGAUGAGAAUGCUCAACCCCCAAGCUCGCUGUGAGCGUUCAGUGACAACACAUGAGCAAGCCCAUGGCCCUGUGGUUAUUGCGGGACCGUGAAUGUCUGCAUGAGUUCCGACCACUUGUUACUCCUUUUCAACGUUGUUGUUAGGGGAUAGAGGAGGAAAAGAGAAAAAAGACCCUGGUGAGAAGCCCUUUGUGUGUUCCGGUUGUUAUGAUCACUACCCACUUGUAUCAGUGUCAUUGUCACUAACCCAGUGCCUAGCAUGGUGCAGGGCACACUUACUCCAGGAAAGCAGAGUGAUUUCUGGAUCUGUCUCUCCCUGUGCAGCUCCUCGUGCCGUUGGCUGAGCCCAUACCAGGCGUCUGAAGGAGACAGCUUCUGAGGAUCUGUGUCCUGCUGGCUGCUGAACCAUCUGCUCCAGAUUCCAGGGCAGCCGUCCUCAGGAGACCCCAACACUUCACAUCCCUGCUGGGAUAUGAGGCCCGGCCCGAGUGAGUGCAUACAUCUGAACAAAAGCAUGUUGUGGAAUCCGUCCUGUGAGGUUCACAAAGGAGCCUCAAAGGAGAGAAGCUACUUUGAUCUCAUCAUGGGAGAAGAGGUUUAGCAGGUGGACUCCAUUCCUUCAGCACCUGCAUGCUCUGUAGCAGCCCUGAGAGCCAUCCUAGAGAUGCUCUCUUUUGUCUGAAAGCAGUGAAUUGUCUGGCUUGAGAAAGAAACAUGAUCUUUCACCUGCAUUUGCAAUAAAUAUAGAUGUAUAUUUUCUGACUAUGAAUAA